UUGUGAUACUGAAUAUUUCGUACUUUCCAUCUGAAAAGCGCCAAAUUUUUGUUAAAAUAAAAGUAAUAUUGAUUAUCGUGACUGUGGUAACUUUAAUUUAAAAGUGCCUUUCGUUUUUCUUGAGUGUAGAUUUAAAAGUUCUCCCUUUUACGAUAAAAAUUGUUGAACAGUCAAACCACCAGCUGAUGUCAAAUCUAUCGAGUGGACUCAAUGACAGCAAAAGUGAUCAAAUUAUUAUUGUAUUGUUUUUAAAUUAUCAUCCGAUCCCGCGUACGAAUUCGAUCCGAAACAUUUUUUAAAAAGUUUGGAUUGCGACGUCUGCAGCGGCAAGGGUUGAUAUUCUGUAAGCCUCCUCGAGAUAAAGAAUCAAGCCAUGACCGUUUCCGCAAAUUGUUUGGUACUGGAGCACUUUCAUGCUGCCCGCUCCCCUUUUUUUGUUAUUCAUGGUGAAAUUCACUGCUCACCUACAUCGAACGCUCGUGCAUUUACUAGCAGUGUACUCAGAUAAUUUACUAGCGGUGGCGAAGACUUACAUACCUUGAAUAAAAUCGGAGCGCCAGGCUGCUUAGGGUGGAAAAUCGUUUGUCUGCAGCGAAUCAAAAUAAAUUGGCGGCAAUAUAGAUAAUCACCGAAGAUGUUCUCCUAGUAUUUCGAAAUUGCCAUGUCUUCCGCAUUCCAGCACCAGGCAGAAACGCAGUAUUGACUCCAGCGCAGAGAUACUCACAACGGCAACAGUUCUUAAUUUAAAAGUUCAUAGUUUUCGUUGAAAACAGCAUGUCUUUUUCCAUAUUUUUGAAUGAAUUAAAUAAAACUUCCAUUUCAAUGUUGAUUUUGACAAGCAAACUGUUCAAAACAUGAAUGUUUAAAAGGUUGUAAGUCAAAAAAGGAGCAAGAUUUUUUGUCUUGGUUUAUUUUUGAUUUACGAUCUUUUGAAAGUUCAUGU